UCAAUGGACCCUAAACAACACCGUGCACAGGGUGGAUUAUCUUAAUCGCCCAAAUAACUACUUAAUAACAGCAACAGAGUCAUUUUAUAGA
rnacentral:misc_RNA from 1 species